GGAGCUUUUUAAGCGAACACUGUGUAGGCAAAUUUUAUCUCUGUGACGUGUACUAUAUUCGUGAAUGUUACUAUGUGAUUUAAAAUUCUCUAUGUUAGAUUUUAUAUAAUUUAAACACUGAUAAAUAUACAUACAAGGAACAACCUCCUACUAUACGGAUAGCUCGACGUUGUAAUCUGAAAAUUGUAGAAAUGGAAGCAGAAUGACCCCAUACUAAUAGUCCAUAACUGAUGUGACACUGGCAUAAUGAAUAAAAUGCAGUUUUUAGAGUUUUAGGAGGAACUUGAUCUUUUAAAUUGCGAAGUGCAAAAAUACCACUACAAAGUAAUUUUGCAACCUUUUCUGAAUGUGUAUUAAACCUCAAUGAGGAGUCAAGAAAGAUUCCUAAAAAUUUUGUAGAUCCUUCCACAAAAUCUAUUUUUUUCUUUAAUGAAAAAACCAAUGUAUUUGUUUUAUUUUUGUUUAAUGUUAAUUUACUGGAUUCGAACCAAGACAAAGCCUUUGACUGUGCAUCAUCUACGAUUUUUAACGCUGUAGACAGAUUUUCGUUUUUUUCCAUUAGAGUUGUAUCAUCUGCAAAAUGUAUACUUUUAUUUCCCAUGUAUGAAGAAAAAUCAUUUAUAUAAAUAAUAAAAAGAAGUGGCCCGAGUACAGAGCCUUGGGGCACUCCUAAUUCAACACGAUUUUUGCCUGAGUCAAUUCCUUUGUGUCUUACAAGCUGUGAUCUGUUGCUUAAAAAUGAUGCUAUCAUUUUACAACUACUAGGUAGCAAGUUAUAAAAAUAUAAUUUUCGUAAUAAAAUGUGGUGAUGAACGCAGUCAAAAGCCUUGGAGAGGUCAAGAAAAGUUCCUAUACCAUAGCUUCCUUCUUCCAAACAAUCUGUCAUAUAUUUUACAAAUUUGGUAACUGCACUAAUUGUAUUUCGGCCCUGUCUAAGGCAAAUAAAUCAUUAUUAGUAUUAUAUUUGGAAGUAAGAAAACGGUAUAAGAAAAAGUGUGAAAAAAAAGCAAGAAGAUGAGGUAAACAAAAUAAAGGAAGUUAGAACAGAAUCAGAAGUGGAAAUUUGUAAAUAAAGAAAGAAAAGGUAAAGACAAAAAAAAAACGAAAAUAUAAGUAUGGAAAAAUCGAAAGAUAACUUUAUGGAACUUACAAAAAAGAAUACAUUUUAAAAGAGUUUACUAAGUUUCUGUUUCAGGGGUUAUUAUAGUCAUUAUUCAUUACACAGUACUUUGUUUCCAGUUCAGUAAAACCAAAUAGUAAUCAUAAAUGUAUUUGACUGGUCAAACUACAACAAAUCAAUAACAAUUAAAUUAUUACAAUCAUAACUCGUAACUAAUUUCCACACGUCUCCUCUAACCCAUCGAUCCCUUCGACGUC